rnacentral:rRNA from 1 species
GACGAACGCUGGCGGCGUGCCUAAUACAUGCAAGUCGAACGCAGUGGGGACGGGUGAGUAACACGUGGGUAACCUCCCAUCAGAGGGGAUAACACUUGGAAACAGGUGCUAAACCGAUACUGAUGGAUGAACCCGCGGUGCAUUAGCUAGUUGGGGAGGUAACGGCUCACCAAGGCCACGAGUCAUAGCCGACCGGAGCGGGGGAUCGGCCACACUGGAACUGAGACACGGUCCAGACUCCUACGGGAGGCAGCAGUAGGGAAUCUUCGGCAAUGGACGAAAGUCUGACCGAGCGACGCCGCGUGAGUGAAGAAGGUUUUCGGAUCGUAAAACACUGUUGUUAGAGAAGCGGUAUCUGACCAAAAAGCCACGGCUAACUACGUGCCAGCAGCCGCGGUAAUAC